rnacentral:rRNA from 1 species
AACGAACGCUGGCGGCAGGCUUAACACAUGCAAGUCGAACGCUCGUAGCAAUACGUGAGUGGCGGACGGGUGAGUAACGCGUGGGAACGUGCCCUGAGGUACGGAAUAACUGAGGGAAACUUCAGCUAAUACCGUAUGAGCCCCGAGAGGGGGAAAGAUUUAUCGCCUUGGGAGCGGCCCGCGUCGGAUUAGCUAGUUGGUGGGGUAACGGCCUACCAAGGCUUCGAUCCGUAGCUGGUCUGAGAGGACGAUCAGCCACACUGGGACUGAGACACGGCCCAGACUCCUACGGGAGGCAGCAGUGGGGAAUCUUGCGCAAUGGGGGCAACCCUGACGCAGCCAUGCCGCGUGAACGAUGAAGGCCUUAGGGUUGUAAAGUUCUUUUACCCGUGACGAUGAUGACGGUAACGGGGGAAUAAGCUCCGGCUAACUUCGUGCCAGCAGCCGCGGUAAUGUCUGUACU